CAUUUGAGAGUUCUGGAUUGUGUUCCGUUGGAGCCCAUCAAUUAUGACCCUACAUCUUCAACAACAACAACCAAAAAAAAGCUUCAACACGAAUAUUAUGAGGUGACAAGCGCCACGGUGCCCUCGAGGAAGUUCUUCGUGGGGAGGGGAGCAUGUGGAGGGGGACAGGAAGAUGUAUGGGUGGAAGAAGAACCUGGAGGAACUCAUCACCACUCCGAACACGACCAUGGUGCUGGCUGACAUGACAUCGAAGUGAUUUGUGCACCCCCCCCCCCCCCCAACUGCCUAAUCGACUUUGUCCGACAGAAGCUAGAUCCCAAGAUUGCUGUGGCUGUGCAGAACUGCUACAAAGUGCCUAACGCAGCCUUUA
rnacentral:lncRNA from 1 species